rnacentral:rRNA from 1 species
AGAGUUUGAUCCUGGCUCAGAUUGAACGCUGGCGGCAGGCCUAACACAUGCAAGUCGAGCGGUAGAGAGAAGCUUGCUUCUCUUGAGAGCGGCGGACGGGUGAGUAAUGCCUAGGAAUCUGCCUGGUAGUGGGGGAUAACGUUCGGAAACGAACGCUAAUACCGCAUACGUCCUACGGGAGAAAGCAGGGGACCUUCGGGCCUUGCGCUAUCAGAUGAGCCUAGGUCGGAUUAGCUAGUUGGUGAGGUAAUGGCUCACCAAGGCGACGAUCCGUAACUGGUCUGAGAGGAUGAUCAGUCACACUGGAACUGAGACACGGUCCAGACUCCUACGGGAGGCAGCAGUGGGGAAUAUUGGACAAUGGGCGAAAGCCUGAUCCAGCCAUGCCGCGUGUGUGAAGAAGGUCUUCGGAUUGUAAAGCACUUUAAGUUGGGAGGAAGGGCAUUAACCUAAUACGUUAGUGUUUUGACGUUACCGACAGAAUAAGCACCGGCUAACUCUGUGCCAGCAGCCGCGGUAAUACAGAGGGUGCAAGCGUUAAUCGGAAUUACUGGGCGUAAAGCGCGCGUAGGUGGUUUGUUAAGUUGGAUGUGAAAUCCCCGGGCUCAACCUGGGAACUGCAUUCAAAACUGACUGACUAGAGUAUGGUAGAGGGUGGUGGAAUUUCCUGUGUAGCGGUGAAAUGCGUANAUAUAGGAAGGAACACCAGUGGCGAAGGCGACCACCUGGACUAAUACUGACACUGAGGUGCGAAGCGUGGGGAGCAACAGGAUUAGAUCCCCUG